UUGCCUACGGGACGCAGCAGUGAGGAAUAUUGGUCAAUGGCCGGAAGGCUGAACCAGCCAAGCCGCGUGAAGGACGAAGGUGCCAAGCAUUGUAAACUUCUUUUGUCAAGGGACAAAAUCAGGCUCGAGAGCCUGACCGAGGGUACUUGAAGAAAAAGCAUCGGCUAACUCCGUGCCAGCAGCCGCGGUAAUACGGAGGGAGCAAGCGUUAUCCGGAUUUAUUGGGUGUAAAGGGUGCGUAGACGGGAAAUUAAGUUAGUUGUGAAAUCCCUCGGCUCAACUGAGGAACUGCAACUAAAACUGAU
rnacentral:rRNA from 1 species